GAUGAACGCUGGCGGCGUGCUUAACACAUGCAAGUCGAACGGAAAGGCCACAGCUUGCUGUGGUACUCGAGUGGCGAACGGGUGAGUAACACGUGGGUGAUCUGCCCUGUACUUCGGGAUAAGCUUGGGAAACUGGGUCUAAUACCGGAUAGGAAUCACAUGUGGGUGUGUGGUUGGAAAGCUUUUGACGUAUGGGAUGAGCUCGCGGCCUAUCAGCUUGUUGGUGGGGUAAUGGCCUACCAAGGCGUCGACGGGUAGCCGGCCUGAGAGAGUGUACGGCCACAUUGGGACUGAGAUACGGCCCAGACUCCAACGGGAGGCAACAGUGGGGAAUAUUGCACAAUGGGCGCAAGCCUGAUGCAGCGACGCCGCGUGGGGGAUGACGGCCUUCGGGUGAUAAACUCCUUUCGUCAGAGACGAAGCGAAAGUGACGGUACCUGGAUAAGAAGCACCGGCUAACUACGUG
rnacentral:rRNA from 1 species